rnacentral:tRNA from 1 species
GCCUGGGUGGCUCAGUCGGUUAAGUGUCUGACUCUUGAUAUUGGCUCAGGUCAUGAUCUCACGGUUUGUGGGUUCGAGCCCCACAUCGGGCU